rnacentral:lncRNA from 1 species
CCUCCAACGCGUUCGCAAGCUCGAUCUCCACCAACGCCGCGAAUUUGGGCGAGAAAUAUAGAGAGAUGAGAGAGAUAUUUAGAGAGAGAAAGAGAGGGUUUCUCUCUCCUUCACCAUGUGCGUGUGAUGCUUGGUGCUGGCUGCAGCUUGAGGAGGAAGAAGCCUAGUAGCUUCUACUUAUAGUCAACACCUCAAUAGUAGCAUACACUAUUCACAUCAGGCAGCUCCAAAUCUGAUAUCUUUCGCCGGAGCUCCCUGAAUAUCCGUUUGAGCUCAAAUUUGACAGGCACGCUCGGUUUUACUUAAUAAGUCCAAAGAAAUUUUAAUAUUUCAGUUUCGACCCCGUUUGGUCACCGAAAACUGUGCCGAACUGCAAUCUUUAUCAGAUGGCUUUCGGAUGCUAUUUCUCUCUCUACGGGCGUCAGAAAAAUAUGAAACUUCAAAUCUAGCCUCAUUAAAAUAUUUCUGACAUCCCCGCCAAUUUUCAUAAUUUUCUGAGACUGUGCAUUUUCUGCUAAUUUAUCUACCCCGUUUCUCACAGAAAAUUCUAAAUCUUCUGUUUUCGCUCCGAUUUCAGCACAGGUCAUUCCGAACCUAUAUUUCACUUCUCUAAAUCCAAUAAAAAUAGUAUCUCAUACUAUUUUUAUUUAUUUUCACUUUUAUAUUUAAAAUCCGGUAUGUUACAUUCCGCCGCAACCUCACCGGAGCCAUUUAAAUGUACACCGUAACUUCAUAGUUUUAGAAGUCCGGUACCUUACAGUCUGACUACUAUACUGUCGAUAGUACCCUGUCCUUGGUACUAUUGAGUUUUCUACCGUUAGAUUUACCCUUUGAUCAUUUCCACCCGUUAAAUUAUACUAUUAAACAAACCACCCACUCAAUCUUAGAGGACAACUAUCAUCCUAACCACGCAUUUUUUAAUCCAACGGCCAAAAACUCAAUAGUACCAAUGACUUGAUACUAUUUAUAGUAUAUCAGCAUAAUUCUAUAUAUAUAUAUAUAUAUAGUGUAGAACUACUAUGCUAUCGAAAAUAUAGAGGAUUUGAUGUUUCCGAAUUUUUGACCCUUUGAUUAAAAAUUAUAUGGUUGGGAUGAUUGCGGUCCCCCCAGGAUUAAAUAAUACCCCUAUGAUUGAGUGGUCCCUGCAAGGUAAUAAUAGUAUUAAUCCAAAGAUAAGAAAUGAUUAAAGGGGUUGAUCUAAGAAUCAAAAAAUCGAAAGCACNNN